AUUGAACGCUGGCGGAAUGCUUUACACAUGCAAGUCGAACGGUAGAGGGGGCAACCCCUCGAGAGUGGCGAACGGGUGAGUAAUAUAUCGGAACGUGCCCAGUCGUGGGGGAUAACGUAGCGAAAGUUACGCUAAUACCGCAUACGAUCUAAGGAUGAAAGCGGGGGAUCGCAAGACCUCGCGCGAUUGGAGCGGCCGAUAUCGGAUUAGGUAGUUGGUGGGGUAAAGGCUCACCAAGCCAACGAUCUGUAGCUGGUCUGAGAGGACGACCAGCCACACUGGAACUGAGACACGGUCCAGACUCCUACGGGAGGCAGCAGUGGGGAAUUUUGGACAAUGGACGCAAGUCUGAUCCAGCCAUUCCGCGUGCAGGAUGAAGGCCCUCGGGUUGUAAACUGCUUUUGUACGGAACGAAAAGGUCUCUCUUAAUACGGGGGGCUCAUGACGGUACCGUAAGAAUAUGCACCGGCUAACUACGUGCCAGCAGCCGCCGCCG
rnacentral:rRNA from 1 species